AGACAGAACAAGCAAAGCCACACCAACGAAGCCACAACACUCAACAAACGAAACCAACACUCUGGCCCAGACAGGCAGGCGCACCCUCCUUAAGUAGGUGGCCAGAUGUAAAUUGCCUACAGGUGCGCCUGCCUGCAGCGCCAGCUGAUGCAAAUUGAGCUCCUUCAUGGCCCCUGGAGGAAAAACCAGGCACAACCCUGGACCCCAACAGGUCCAAGUGUCUGGAGGUUUAUGGAUUUUUGGGAGAAGGUGAAAGUAACGCGGGCGUGGAUUGCCUAGGCCAAAUAGGUGCUGCCCUGUGUAGGUGGACUCAUUGGCUGCCAGUGGUAGAUCUCUUCUCAGGGAGGAGUUUUCCUCUUGGCUCGGACAGGUGCUGUUGGGUUGGUUUUAUUACUCUGGUCUGUAUUCUGUCCUUGUUUCAGUCCUUGGUUUUGUCCCGGUUCACUGAAUAGAUCCUUCCCUUAGAGGUUAGUGGCGCCACGUGGAGUUUGAGGUUAUAAGUCCUCUUGUUGAUCCUGGGCUGGCAGAGUCCUCCACCAUUGUUUAAAAAAUGUCUUUAUUGUUGCUUCAUCAGGGGUUAGGUUAGGUUAGGUUAUAUUAGGGUUCAUACAUAAGGAGGGGAAGAUUUAUAAUGUAUUAAGACUAGAGAGGAUUUAUGGUUGGGUUAGGUUAGGGUUAGGGUUCAUACUUAAGCAGGGUUAGGGUAGAGGGUUUAGGUUAGGGUUUAGGGUUAGUUAGGGUUUAGGGUUAUUUAGAGUUCCUGCUUAAGGAGGGGUUAGGGUUAUUUAGGGUUAGGGUUCGUGCUUAAAGAGGGGUUAGGUUAGGGUUUAGGGUUAGUUAGAGUUUAGGGUUAUUUAGGGUUCCUGCUUAAGGAGGGGUUAGGCUAGGGUUUAGGGUUAGUUAGGGUUAGGGUUCCUAUGUAAGGAGGAGAAGGUUUGAAACGCGUAGAGAGAAUGAUCAUAAAAAUACACGGUAGUUUUGCUAUAAAUUGAAAAAUUGAGGGGAGGAGCUAUGAAUCCAACAUGGCUGCUGUUAUCCACAUAACUAUGGUCUUACUGAAGGGUCAGUGUUAAUCUCUGAAGACUGACCCCCCCCCCCCCACACACACACACACACACACACACACACACACACACACACACAGUCUCUCUCUCUCACACACACUCUCACAGACACACACCAAAACAUGCUAAUUUUAUGAAUAAAUCCAACAUCUGGACUGACAGCAGGAUAAGAAGCUUUGUCAUCUGUUGAUGUGAGAACAUGGCAGAACUGAAGAGUCGAGGAGACCGAAGGAGCCGAGAGGAGAAAGAGUGAACAGCAGGAGAAAAGAGAGAGAGUGAGCUGGAAAGAGGGAAUAGUUGCUGGUGGAUUAGACAGGAUUAUUGUCUGUUUGAGGUGAUCCUCCUCUGUUGGAGGAUCCCAUCAUCCUCUGCUGUUUGUCACUAAAACGCUGCUGCAGAGGACCUGAAGGACCAGAAGGUUGGAGUUCCAGACUGGAAGGUGUGUUCUUGUACUUGCUACAUAAAAAGUUCCAAAAUACUUGUUCUGAUUAAAAAAAAAAGAUGAGGACAUUUUGGCUAAUUCUCACAACUUC
ensembl:lncRNA